rnacentral:rRNA from 1 species
GCAAGGGGCAGGGCGAGCCUGACCCAGCACGCCGCGUGAGGGAUGAAGGCUUUCGGGUUGUAAACCUCUUUUCAUAGGGAAGAAUAAUGACGGUACCUGUGGAAUAAGCUUCGGCUAACUACGUGCCAGCAGCCGCGGUAAUU